GGAUAACAGGCUUAUCUCCCCCAAGAGUCCACAUCGACGGGGAGGUUUGGCACCUCGAUGUCGGCUCAUCGCAUCCUGGGGCUGUAGUCGGUCCCAAGGGUUGGGCUGUUCGCCCAUUAAAGCGGUACGCGAGCUGGGUUCAGAACGUCGUGAGACAGUUCGGUCCCUAUCCGUCGCGGGCGUAGGAAAUUUGAGAGGAGCUGCCCUUAGUACGAGAGGACCGGGGUGGACGUACCUCUGGUGUAUCAGUUGUUCCGCCAGGAGCAUCGCUGAGUAGCUAUGUACGGAUGAGAUAAACGCUGAAAGCAUCUAAGUGUGAAACUCGCCUCGAGAUGAGAUUUCCCAUUCUUUAUGAAGUAAGACCCCUCAGAGAUGAUGAGGUAGAUAGGCUAGAAGUGGAAGUGCGGCGACGCAUGGAGCGGACUAGUACUAAUGGUUCGAGGACUUAACCAAGUU
rnacentral:rRNA from 1 species